AUUGAUCUCUGUCUGUACUAAAACAAACGAAAACACACAUUACAUGACCAUUCACACAUAUCAAGUGACCAUUCAGGUACACUGGGCAUGCGAGUGCUUCGUGUGAUUCAAAGACAUUAAGGUGUUUGGAUUUGCCGUUUUAGUGUGGACGGCAGGCGUAAAUGUAGCAAAAGUGCUGCGUUUAAAAACAAAAACGUUGUACGGUGGAUGUAGCCUGAGAAGAAGAAAAUAUCCAAGCCCUUCUUCAACUUGCUUAAAGGCACAGGGAACUUGUAGGAGAAACACAAGCAGCCCACGCUUCUUGCGGUGCCCAUCUGGUAUCUCCAUAGCUGCAGUAAUUCUGAUGUGUAGUUACAUCUUUGAGGAGGUACACAUCAGUUAACAGAUACAGUAUCUACAGCAGCUACACGUGUAUGGUCAGAAGCUA